GAUGAAGAACGUAGCAAAAUGCGAUAAGUAAUGUGAAUUGCAGAAUCCAGUGAAUCAUCGAAUCUUUGAACGCACAUUGCGCCCGCCAGCAUUCUGGCGGGCAUGCCUGUUCGAGCGUCAUUUCAACCCUCGACCUCCCCUUGGGGAGGUCGGCGUUGGGGACCGGCAGCACACCGCCGGCCCUGAAAUGGAGUGGCGGCCCGUCCGCGGCGACCUCUGCGCAGUAAUACAGCUCGCACCGGGACCCCGACGCGGCCACGCCGUAAAACACCCAACUUCUGAACGUUGACCUCGAAUCAGGUAGGACUACCCGCUGAACUUAAGCAUAUCAAUAAGCGGAGGA
rnacentral:misc_RNA from 1 species